AGGUGUCGCAGGUCUCCGACACAGGCAGACUCUGGAUCACCUCCGGAGCCAUCCAGGGAAACGUGCCGACCAAGGACAUGUGUGUUGUGUGUGUCAGGAACUUAGACGCCCCAAAAUCACAGAUCUGAAGUGAUGAAAACAGAAAUUACACAAAUGCUGCAGGCAGCGAUCUUUGCAACAACGACAAGAGAAAACAUCAGAAAUAUCUGGGCUGAGGGGAAACGUUACGUUUCCAAAACACACCACAAACAAAAACUGUAUCUUCUGGUUCAUCUGCUGAUCCUCAUCACUGGUACCGGUAAGCAGUGAGCUGUCGGGGUCCAGACUGUGCUUGUAUAAGGACGAUGGCAUGCCUGGUAUGCUGUGAUCACGCAGCCAAAGUCACAGAUGAUUCCAGCAGGGUCUGCCGGGUUCAGUACAAGUAAGGCCACAAGCAGAGAGAGAGAAAACAGUUGCAUGAUAAACUGUCUCUGUCUCAGAGAGAUGCUCAUAUUCUCUUUAUCUUUCCAACUGAAAAAGGAGCUCUUCCUGCACGCAUAAAGGCCAAACAUGAUGUUAUGUGUGCAAGCCAGGGUUAGGAGUAUAAUGCCUCCAAACCAGAGUCCACAGCGAUUGAUUAUCACAUCCCUUUGUUUGUUCGUAACAGCAUAAAAGCAUCUUGUAAAGAAAUAAUUCCAUCAUUACAGGAAAUUGUAGCUGUGUUAUUGUUCAUAGGUUUCCCAUUUACAGCUGAGCAAUUAUGGCUUUUAAAAGGCUGUUACCUGGGUCUUCAUUGGGAUUACUAUCCGUCACAGUGGGAAAUGCCUCCAUUGUCACAGAGGGGAGCCAUUGCUUUCUGCUGAUUUACUUGUAUUCAUUCUAUACUUAGCCCCGCAGCAAUUUGCUCAGUGGACCGGCCCCCCCAGUAUUGUCUGACCACUCAAGAAGCCAGGGUUACUGGGAUAUGGUAGCACUCCUGCAGUCCUUGCUGCCAGUUUCUCACUUAAUAGCAAACACUGGUGUAACAAUAAGGGCCUGAUAGCCAGAUGUCAAACCACAGGUUGUUACUGUAAUCAGAACUAAAUGAAAAAUUAAUCACUUGGUGACAGCAGACAGUGAGGUCAGCCGCUGUUUCACAUCUUCACAGGCAGCAGUGUGGUUAUACAGCCUCUGAAAUAAUUAUCAGACCUUUGUGACCAACGCUUUCUGCCGCUUCCCAUGCGGUCUACUGAUGAAGACAUAUUCUGUCUUCUUCUUAGGGUUGUAAUGGACGGCUGGUUUGCUGAUUCCAAGCCAGUUAGCAGGCAGCGCAGACACUGUAGUAGCCCACACAUAUCACGCAUAAGAGAAAAUAAGGCGCAAAUGAUGCCGUUAGAAGGAAAAGGUUGAGAUGCAAAUGGUGCUAAUAGAAUAUAAUAUAUGCAGACAGUAUAAAAAUAAGGUAUAAGAAAGGGUCCAGGAUUCCUUGAGUCCUAGUAGACGAAGGGCUACUGUAAGAUAACGUCAUUUAGUUUGGAUUAACUGCUGAUUUCACACAUAUAGCUUAAGGAUAUGGUCAAAUUAUGGCCAUGUAGUGUCAAUUUUACAGUUUCAAUACAUCACAUAUAACACAAAUUUUGGUAUGUAUAGAAUUACUAUAGGAUUUUUUCAUGUCUUUCAGAAAAUGCCAUAAUUAUUUAACCAUGACAGAAUUACAACAGAAUUAUCAGUGCAGAAGGCCUGUUAAGGUAGACUUAGCAAUGUAAUAAUCAUUUCCAAAGCUCUAAUUCAUCACAUGCUGUAAUUACACUAAUAAACAGUAAUCACUAACUUGCCUGUGCAUGCUAUAUAAAAGAUGCACCUGAGCUGUUUAGACCACAAUGACUCUGUAGAGACAAGAAAAUAUCACAUUUAAAAUUACUCCAUCAACAAGAGUAUAAUUUAAGCAGAGAAGACUUCAUCUGUUUUAAUUACGCAUUUAUAAACACCUUAUAAUAAAGUAGUACAUACAUGACCAUCCCAACAUCAACACACAUCCUUGUUUUAACUCCAUGCAGCCAACUUUAACUCAGACUCCUCUCAUUCACGUUGUUGCCAGUAAAAGUUCCAAACACGUGAAUUCCGCAUGAAGUCAGACUUUAACUUUGUAAACAUACAUACCGACAUUCAGGGAGAAGUUUGGGGGCUUCAGAGCGGCUCUCCGUCGGUGCAGCUCGACACCGGGUUCAGGACAAACUCUCAGAAAACAGCCAGGAGUUCCGGAAAAUCUCAUGUGACGUCGCCUGAUUUCAGUUUUACUGGUUGCACAACUUGAAGCAGAAAGCAACGCUGGCCUGGCUGGCACCUUUCCAGUACCCAUAUAAUGAUGACAACAGCUCCCCCCGCUGGACAAACGAGGGAAAACCUCCAUGAGCCUCCCAAGGUUGUGUACAAGUCCAAGUCUAACAGGCCAGAUUGACCCUGUUCAAUGUAAAAUGCAUCUUAGAGGAGCAUUUCUUAUUUGUGUUACAGAAGUAUUGCAAAAAUAUUGACCAAACCGUCAAAAAUGAAUGCUGUUUAAAGAGGUUAUCCCUCACUUUGUGAUUUCAUUGGCACCCCAGAUUCUUCCUUGUCUGACCCACAGAAAACCUACCCAGGAAUUAGUCUGAUUCUUAGACCCUGAGAGCAUUUACAGCCCCAUCUUCAUUUCAAAUCUGGACCAGAUACAGCACCGCCAAUGGAUUAACUUAUUAUGCACAAUGCAAGAACAAAAAAGUACAGAAAGGCACAUUCAGUAACAUUCAAUUUACAAAAAAAUUCUUCUUGGUUUUAUUCUUUGAAGCCAAAACUCUUAAUUGUUAACUUUUUUUUUCACUGUGACGUAUGCUCAGCAAGCAAAUCAUUAUAAAAGAACAUAACUAUAAUGCCCUUGAGCUAAUUACAAUUGAAAAAGUUCAAAUCAAAGAAACAACUGAAUUUAAAACCAAGAAAAAAUUAUGCUGUGAGCAAAACAUUAUCAAAGAACAUCCACAUUGGCUGGUGUUACUUUCUGUAACUGUUGUGCUUAAAUUUAGAUUGACUUGAUCCAUAACUCAGUUCUUAAAUCAGCUUUCUAUAUUGCUCAUCCAAAAAUUUCAUUGGACCGCCUUUAGCUCUGAGAAAGACACACAUUCGCGGUGGCAUCAUUUUGAUAAGCUUCUGCAAUGUCACUGCAUUUAUUUCUGUCCAGAGUUGCAUUAAUUUUCUAUCAAGGUUCUAUCAAGGUGCGCAAAGUCUUCUCCAGAACAUCCCAAAGAUUCUCAGUGGGGCUGAGGUCUGUGGAGGACAAUCCACGUGUGAAAAUGACGUCUCAUGCUCCCUGAUCCACUCAUUCUCAAUGUGAGCCCCACGAAUCCUGGCAUCGUCAUCUUGGAACAUGUCCAUGUCAUCAGGGAAGAUAAACUCCAUUGAUGGAAAGACCUGGUCCUUCAGUAUAUUCAGGUGGAAGCUGAAUUAGUGAGGAUGACUCCUGCUCCUGUCAUCUCUAAGCUCCUCACACAUCUUUACCUGCACAUGAGGAAAAUCACUCCUGUAGAAUGCAGAUGUUCAGAGGGAGAUGAUGCCACAUCUGGUCCAGCUGAUGGAAGGUCUUGAAGUUCUCUGACUGGCCUCGACUGAAGAUGGUCGUCUCACUGGAUUUAAGGUUCAGAUGCUCAGUAACAAACUCCACCAAUGAGUCAACAGGGAAGCUUUAGGUUUAUUAAAUGUUGCUAUGAUAGUAUCGCUGUUUUUCUUAGUGAAUGGAAUGAGCUCCAACUGAAACUUGAAUUAGAACUUUGAAGUAAAUCCUUCCAUCUGAAAGGAUUUAGUUGCAUUAAUAACCUCAUAACAUUCAAAUUUUUAUUCCAGUCUUGGUUGGAAAUAGAAUCUCUGUAUUGAUUCAGGUAAAAACUGAACUUCACAGCAUGUUGGAGCAAAACAACCAGAUGAAAACUGUGAUGGUGUUGGAUUGUCAGACCGUAAUGUUGCAGCUCAAAGCAGCUUUUCUAUCUCAGUUCAUUCUGACAUUCAGCUAUGAAUCAACACAGCAGAUGGUGAUCCAUGCUGUGGAAGUCUCACAUCUCCUGAUUUAAUGGAGCUGCUUUGCACUUUUUACACUGUUUAUUCACCAACACUUUAUUUAAUAAAAGUCCCAUCUAGUUUUCAUGAGGAAUGUGAUGUUUUAAUUUCUCUGUGAGUAACUGCAGUCUAAUGCAACAGCUGGAGUUGUAACAUCUGUCCUGGUAUUGAUCAUGAAGUAUUGAUCAGAAUACUUAUGGUCAGCAGUCAUCCCUGAAGUUUUACAUUAAAAUCUUUACUUGUGUUGUGAACUUUGGUAAGAAGCAGAAAUGUUAGCGUUGCCAUGGAUACAUGAGUGUUAAAGUCUGUCCAUGUUUCCAUUUUGGGAAAUUCAGUCCAGCAGAUGAGUUUGUUUUUACUGCCAGCUACCAUUCAGUCUGAGAUAUUAAGAAUAAACAGAUGUACAUAAUGUGGAAAUGAACAGAUUUUAUUUUUAUUUAUUCCUUUAGCUUCUGCAGGUAAAGUUCCAAAAUGUGGAGGAAUUUAGUCUCACAAUCACAGACAACAAAUAUUAUCUGAAAGUCGGGUUAUUGUUGUUUAUCAGCACAAUACAAAAAGAUUAAUGUUAGAAAUAUUCCAGUUAAGACUCUGGAAUAUAAUGAUUUAUGUAAAUUUACCUCAAUAAUAUGAAUGUUCAGGUUAAGAUUGUACAGUGAUAUUUAUUAUGUAAGUUUAGCUGAUUAAAGUUUAUGACUCUGCACUACAAUAUUAUUAUUUAAAUUGACAUCAUUAUUAUAAUAUUCAGGGUCAGACCCUACAGUAUUGAGAUAAAGAAAUCAAAUAUUCCAUAAAAUGUAAAUACACUGAACUAAUUUGGAUAUAUUUAAGUGAGACUCUACAAUAUUAUUUGACACAAAUCUAUCUAAAUCAAAAUUUUAAUAAUUUUUACUCCAAACAUUUACUGGACUGAUUUAAAUAUUAAAAUCACUCCUGUCUAAUCCUCUGCUGUACGUUCAAACCUGAGGCCUUAAAUAGAAACACACAAGUAUCUGUUUGAAGGAACUUUACAGGUUUUUAUGUGAGAUUUCUUCAGUAAUUUAAUGAGAGUUAUCAGCAAUAAUCAAGUGUUCAUUUGAUGAACUUCAUUUCCUAAAACAUCCAGAAUUGGAGCUCAUAUCUUUGGCAGCUGUAAAGUUUCUGCUCCUUCAAAGUUCACAACACAAUGAAUGAAUUCCUAAAACACUCUCAAUGCUGGAGAACGUUUGUGAUGCUGAAGCAGUGACCAGUUUUUCUGUUUCUUCUCUGGAGAUGCACAAUGAGGGACGUCUGCAGUGACUGAGAAAGAGUCUCACCACAUCCUGACAUGAGGAAAAAGACUUUAUUGAAGACUACGAUGAGAAAAACUAUCAGACAGCAGACGGCUGCAUUCAAGGUGAGCUCUGAACAUUUGAUCUGGAACAGGAAUUCAAUAACAGCAGCAUGAGCUUCAUUUCAGUCUGUAGCUGCUGAAUUCAUGGAUGAAUCAUCUGGCACUAGAGAGGAAGACCAUCAAACAUCCACAUCAGCUGAUGGAGGUCCAAGAGUCUCACCAAACAACCAACCUACAGAGUGAAGACCUCAAAUUUUAGGCUGUUAGAUUGUUCCAGAUAAGACAAGUACAAGAUUCUUCAGAGCCGUUCUACCACGAGCCUGACAGGAAGAACUCCAACAGCUACUGAAUGUUCCUGUGGUUCCCUCAAGGCUACAGGAGGAGUCCUACGAGGACGAGCCGGUCCACCUGAUGGUGGCCAGUCGCUGCGGUUCAAAGCCAACACUGACUACGUGGACUUCUACUGGACCACAUGGAGGCCUUCAAACCAGACCAACAAGUUCACCGACUCCUCGACUCGUGGGUCUGAGGACGCCGCUGAGCCUCGGUCCAGCCGGCCUCCUGUCUGGGGUGUUUGAGUGCUGAGAGGUUUGUGGAUGCAUGUGAACGUGUCUGUGUUGAAACAGCAGCUUUGGACUCAGUAACGCCGGGAAAAACCAAGAGCUCCUUUAUUUGUGACUUCCACUAAAAAACUGAUGAAAAUAAGUUUAUCAGGGUUCUGACUGAUAACAGAUUAUUAAAUAAUGAAAAUAAUGGUUUAAAUAUUCCUUUAAACAAUCCUUUUAGGUCUACAUUUCCUUUACACUGACUUCUUGGUAUAUGUACAAGAAUUUUGGGUGGAAUAUACCAUUAAGCCCAAUGUUCAAGGGUUUUUCUGGGAAUAUACCAUUAAACCAACCUUUUAGGUAAAUGUUCCAGGAUGUUGGGUAGAAUAUACCAUCAGAUCAACCUUUUAGGUCUACAUUGGAAGAUGUUAGAGUAGAAUAUUACUCCAAACCAUCCUUUAGGUCUACAUUUAAGGUGGAAUAUUCCUUUAAACCAACCUAAAUUUCAUGUUUUGAUCAUUAUCAAGUGAGAAACCUCAAUCCAGACUCCUCAUAAUGACGUUUGAGAUUUAUGCUGCUGUUAUUUGUUUAGUCCAGACUAAAUGACAUAAAUCCACAACUGUAAUUUUAUUUCAGGACUCUGUUUUUAAAUGUCAAAACAAUCCAUGUGACUCUAAAAACGCAACAGCUGUACAAACUCUAAACUCUCCACAAGGAUCCAAAAUAAGUUGGACUUCUACAUGAGAGCUUUAAUUAUUCUUCAUCUACUUCCUAAAAAGUUUGGUCAAUAAAAAAGACAAAAACUAAUAUUUUCAGCUGAACUAAAGACAGACUUUGUGGUUUUUCUGCUCACAUGUUGUGUUGUUGUAAACUUACUCUUUCAAAUAAAUAGCUGCCUAACCCCCUGGAAACCAGCGUUUGUCCUGUUAUUGUGUUGCUCCUCGGCGACCCUCGACAGCCGGGUCCUAAUGUUUUUUGAGCAACACACCAUACUAUGAUGUUUUUACAAUGAUGGUUCUACUAUGAGGCCAGUUUGACAUGUUCAGGUGUUCUUUGUGUGAAAACUCAGAGAUUUCAGGGAUCAGAAGGUGGUUUUCAACUUUCUUUGUUAACUUUCUGCUUCAACUUUAAACUAAAUUUCCUUCACUAAGCCAGCCCUCUGGACUUCCAGGAAGCUGUGUUCCUAUUGGCUGUCCAGGUGGCUGCUUGGUGUUAUCAGGAACACCUGAGCAGCUCAGUGUCUUCCUGCUUUAUCUGGCUGCAGACAAACAUUUCCUCUGCUUCUGUUCACCAUUGAAUCGGGUUUGGCUCCAUUGCUUUAGUUUGUUCUUUAGGCGUUGGCUUCCAGCAGUAAAAUAGACUUUAAUGUGUUUCUUGGUGUGUUUUAGGGCUUUGUACUGGAUAGUUGUCUUGGUAAAUGUGGUUCUUAAGCUACAGUUAUCACAUGGUGCUAAUGUGUGCAGUGAUUAGUGGAUUUGGUGCAGCUGAGUUGUGUCUUUAUCUUGGCUGUAGUGAGUCUUCAGAGGUUUUUGGUCAGACACAUUCUGUAUUCUUGUUUGAGAACCGUCGUUGGUUGUCCAGAAGGUAAGAGUUCCUGUCCUGAUUCUCUGUUCUCAGAGGUUCUCUGGUAGACUGCAGGAGACUUUAGCAUUUGGGUUGUGCUUGUUUGGUUUUUGUACGGUUUCUUUUAGACAACUAUCUUGAGGCCCCUCCAUGUGGUUUAGUGAGGUUUUCUGCAACAGUUCUACAAAGCAACCUGCAGCAGAAGAGACUUUGAGAGUUUUUAGGAAGUUCUGGAGACCAGACUUUAGAGCAGCAGAAACAUUUGUCAGCAGUUUGAGCAGGAGAAGGUGAUCUUCAGAGUAGAAAUGAGACGGAAACCUUCUUGACCCGUGUGGUGAGGUCCUGUACCAAGAGUUUGAGCAGGUUGUGAAGAGUCUGUAGUUCUUUGGUCUGAAAGCACAAGAAGAGUCGACUCAUUAAAGGAGAAAACAGGAUAUAUUGUUGGUUCUUCUGUCAUUCUGCAGUUUCCUUAGACUGAAUAUCAAGUUUAUAUUUUAAAUGAUUUCCCAUGUGAGCCCAAGAAGACUUCAAUAAACUCCCUCCAUCCCCUGGACACAACAGAUUUUAUUACGAUGUUAAAUAUUUUUUUUAAAAAUAUGUUUUUGAGUUUUAAUCAUAGUUUUAGCGUAGUUUUUUCGCUUUGCUUGUUUAGUUUUGUCAUCUGUGUGAAAUGUGGUAAACAAAUAAAGUUGAAUUGAUAAACUGAAUAAUUGAAUAACUCAUGAUUGUGACAACAGAAGUAUUUUCAUUGUGAUUUAAGAGUUUGUUUCAUUUUUAAGGUUGGGAUUAAAAUCUUGACAGAAAAAAAAGAUUAAAGAAAUGAACUACAUUUAAAAAAGCAAUUAAAUCAAAGGAAAAAAACAUUUAAUACAAUAAAACUUUUAAAAAGAAAAUUAAAUAUCAAAUACAAUUAAAUGAUA